CUUCACUCAAUCUAGGGUUAUUUAUGUAUUAAUAACCUAUUCUAAUUUCAAUCAAAACUACACACAAUUUGUAAAAGCGUGAUCGAUUAUCAACAUAAAAUGACUGCUGACAACCUCACUUGGCCUCAUCUGUAGAGGAUACUUCACCUGUAGUACAUGUAUAAGCACUUGUGAUACUUAAUUAUAAUAGUUCCAGUUAAAUAUGUCAAUAGAUUGACCUCUUGACAUAUUUCGAUAUAUAGCAUCCGUUAAUAGUUUGGAUUACCUAUUUUUGUUCAACUUGUCACUCUCUAACUCAAAUCAUAAUUUAUGUUUAGUAUUCAGUUGAGUUGCAUCAGCUACACACAAUCAUUGACAUUAAAAUAGUGAAAAUGAAAGUUAUCGUGUUGCUUUUGUGUGUAUUGUUAUGUAUCAGAUAUGGAUCCUGUGUGGUUGGUGAUUAUGAUGCUGCAAUGGCAGAUCUAACUGCAGGAGGAACAAGGGUGUGCUCGUAUUGUUCCUAUUGUUUCGUUAGAGGAUUGUGCAACAGUGCGUGUCAUCAUCCGCACAGACUGUGUAACUUUUGUCAGUUUGUUCACUAUUGUGAAACAAAUUGUAGAAAUAGCUGUUUAUUUUGGUGGAAGUAAGAAUGAUACGGAUACUACGUAUUCUCAUGAAAGCAACUUUAUAUUUAACUCUUCUGCAAACGAAGUAAACAUCUUAUUGUUUUUUUUUUUUUUGUAAACCAUGAAUUUUGCAAACAGCAAAAGACUACUUAGUGAACUGAAAAUUUCAACAACAUGAAGUUUUUUAAUGGAUUCAAUUAUUUUUAAUAUUACACAAGGAAUAAUUAAAUAUUGACUCAAUUUAGCAGUGAGACAUAGCUGUCGCAAUUGUGCUUUCUAAAGAUAGGAAUAUAUAGUUUUACAGAAAGGUAUUUUUCGAUUAUUAAUUUGAAAUAGAUAAAACUUUUGUGAGUAGUGUUGAUUUAAUCAAAAGAUACUGCUUGAACAUUUCAACGAACAUAAAUGAUGCAAAUUAUACAUGAAAUUGACUUUUUAAUAUAUAAACCCGCUGUGCAAAUUAAGAAAACGAUAUGAAAAUGUAUUUCCCCCUUUGUUGUAAACUAACAGUUUUCAAAUUAUUAUUAUAUCUAAUUGCAGAUUUGUUAUUUUGAUAAUACAUAGUGUACAACCGACUAACAAUCAAUUAGUUCAAAGCCAUGUGACAAACAACCACAAAAGGAAAAUCAGUAGACAACAGUUCUGAUUUUAUUUGACGCAUACAUGAAUUUUUAUUUAAAACAUUCUUGUAAACACAUAACUUGCUCAUUACCAUCAGAAAACAUUUUACCAGCUUAUAAUUAAAAAAUCAGUUGGAAAGGGAAUGAUUCAUUCUAUAUGUACUUCAUACGAAAACAACUAGCAAAGAGAUAAAACGAGAGUGUCGAUCUACUAAUGCAUAUACGUAUGUUCCAGACCAUAUGAGUAUAAGGACCGUACGCGUACGGUCCGGACCAUAUACGUAUACUCGUAUGGUCCGACCGUAUGACCGUAUGAGUAUACGCGUAUGGUCCAGUACGAGCUGAUUAUACAUGUUAUUGGAUCAUAUGGGAUAAAUUUAAACAAACAUUUAUCACAAUCUUUAUUUUAAGUUUUACAAAUUGUUAUUAUUACAAUUAGAUGGAUAAAAUGAACGAACGAACAAUUGAAAUUAAAUAUUUGUUUAAUUGUAUAUCUGAAUCCUAUUUUGGUACUCUCGCCCAAGGUGACACAAGUUACGUAAUAUUUUUUACAUUAUCAUGUUUGCAGUUCAUGCAUGUUACUUUGCAUUUGCAUUUUUUUGUACAGUUGCUAAACAUUCUGAAACAGUUGUCCCCCC
rnacentral:lncRNA from 1 species